ACUCCGUACGGGAGGCAGCAGGUAGGGAAUCUUCCACAAUGGGACGCAAGCCUGAUGGAUCAACACCGCGUGAGUGAAGAAGGGUUUCGGCUCGUAAAGCUCUGUUGUUAAAGAAGAACACGUAUGAGAGUAACUGUUCAUACGUUGACGGUAUUUAACCAGAAAGUCACGGCUAACUACGUGCCAGCAGCCGCGGUAAUACGUAGGUGGCAAGCGUUAUCCGGAUUUAUUGGGCGUAAAGAGAGUGCAGGCGGUUUUCUAAGUCUGAUGUGAAAGCCUUCGGCUUAACCGGAGAAGUGCAUCGGAAACUGGAUAACUUGAGUGCAGAAGAGGGUAGUGGAACUCCAUGUGUAGCGGUGGAAUGCGUAGAUAUAUGGAAGAACACCAGUGGCGAAGGCGGCUACCUGGUCUGCAACUGACGCUGAGACUCGAAAGCAU
rnacentral:rRNA from 1 species